UAGUAGGACUUGCUUGCAUACAUAUAUGCCUCAGUGCGCCGCGUAGCACCUAAUUAAAUCACUUCUCUCACAUUAGACAUUACUACUUGAGAGGGUAUUCGGAUUCCGACAUUGCCAUCAUCUUCGUUUCCAAGUUUGUUCGGUUGGAUGAAUCAUGUCGAUGCUUCGCGCGAGUAUUCAAGUUCCCUCUCGUCUACUAAAUACUUUUGAGGUUAAAAAAAACUCCGGCAAGUGUGUGAUUCUAGGUUUUGGUGUUGUUAGAAGUAACAUAUUCUUGUUUGUUUUGGCUGCUCUAGUCAUUGGCAGCUAAAUGGACGUGGAGUGAAUACAAUUCUUGCUGGCUUUAAGAUCACUUGGACUCAUUUUUCUGCUGAUAAAGUUAAUUGGUUGAUAUGGUUGCAAUAAGCAGACUUCCUACUUAUGACUGCUUCUGCUGUUCUGCAAGCGGGACUAAGACAGGUGAUGCUGUCACUGAUAACGUAGAGGCUGGAGCGGCCACUGGAACUGGAACUAAAAACUGCGAGUCAAAGAAGAUCAUCAAUGAGCUAGGCUUGGCUUGUAAAAGCCAGCAACUUCAAGAAGAGAAUCUAAAACCGUACCACUGCAAGGAGCCUCAAAAGGGUGCCUGAUGUAGAUAUUGCUUCUAAGGGAUCAGAAAAAACAUUGACAACUCUUGAAAGUACUGGCUUGUCUUUGCAGUCUGGUUCAGAAGGGAACUACCCUUUUAUCGGUGAGAAAGUAAUGCAAGACGGGUGCAAUUGGCGUAAAUAUGAGCAGAAACUGGUUAAAGGAAAUGAAUUUACACAUUGUCAAACAAAACUUCAAGUUUCAGUUGCUUUAUUAUUGGCAAUUGAACUGAGAACUGGUACUUCACAAUCAAGUAGCAAAAAGGAGGAUACACACAAGCAGAAUAAUCCUGCAUCAAAAAGAAGGUAUUGUUUGUUUAUCGAUGUUUAAGAUUCUAAAUGCAUCUAGAACAAGCCAUUUGCAUCAAUAUUCCUUCUGUUUAGUUUGUUAUACGAAGAAGGAAGGUAGAAUAUGUAAACCGAAGUACAGUGCACUGGUUCACACUCAGUCAUUGGUUAUUGUUGUGAAUGAUGGAUACUGAUGCCGUAAAUAUGGACAGAAACCAAUUAAAGGCAGCCCUUAUCCAAGGUCGUCUUUUAGUUUCAGCCUUGUAUCUAUUCUUAUUUUGGAACUCCCACUUGCUUCAGUCUGAUUCUCUUAAUGGCCUGUAUCAGGAGCUACUAUAGAUGUUCAAGUUCUGGUAGUAAAUCCGCAUGAUUCAGCUCUUUUGACCAUUAAAAACGGCCUAGGCAGGAAAAAUUAUUAAUAGAAUGUAUAGUUAGUUGUUCAGGCGGCACUAGAUUAGCUAGUAUACAAUGUAAUCAUUUAUUUCCCACAUUAUCAUAUAAUGUAAUAGUGUAUUUAGUAUUUACCACAAGUAGAGGAGAGCUUGUAAGACAAGAUUGAUGGAUCUCCUAUGAUGUAUACGACUGGAUCCAAUGUUUCUGAUUCCAAUGUUGUUAUAUGGUAUCACCGCGUGAGGACCACGUAUUCUAAACAAAAAUGGAAUCAGCCUACUGCUGCGACUACAUAUUGUGAAGUAAUUAGAUUGAGGAAUAGUGAACAGGUUGAUUUGAUACUUUGGAAAAAAUUCAAUGCACAAUAGAAAGCAUGUUGUAUUGAAGAAAUUUUAUCAAAGAUAAAGAGUAAUGAGAGAACAGUUUCCAGGGGAAGCA